CGUUCUGUAAGCCUGUGAAGGUGUGCUGUGAGGCAUGCUGGAGGUAUCAGAAGUGCGAAUGCUGACAUAAGUAACGAUAAAGCGGGUGAAAAGCCCGCUCGCCGGAAGACCAAGGGUUCCUGUCCAACGUUAAUCGGGGCAGGGUGAGUCGACCCCUAAGGCGAGGCCGAAAGGCGUAGUCGAUGGGAAACAGGUUAAUAUUCCUGUACUUGGUGUUACUGCGAAGGGGGGACGGAGAAGGCUAUGUUGGCCGGGCGACGGUUGUCCCGGUUUAAGCGUGUAGGCUGGUUUUCCAGGCAAAUCCGGAAAAUCAAGGCUGAGGCGUGAUGACGAGGCACUACGGUGCUGAAGCAACAAAUGCCCUGCUUCCAGGAAAAGCCUCUAAGCAUCAGGUAACAUCAAAUCGUACCCCAAACCGACACAGGUGGUCAGGUAGAGAAUACCAAGGCGCUUGAGAGAACUCGGGUGAAGGAACUAGGCAAAAUGGUGCCGUAACUUCGGGAGAAGGCACGCUGAUAUGUAGGUGAAGUCCCUCGCGGAUGGAGCUGAAAUCAGUCGAAGAUACCAGCUGGCUGCAACUGUUUAUUAAAAACACAGCACUGUGCAAACACGAA
rnacentral:rRNA from 1 species